UACGUAGGGUGCGAGCGUUGUCCGGAAUUACUGGGCGUAAAGAGCUUGUAGGCGGUUUGUCGCGUCUUCUGUGAAAACUCACAGCUCAACUGUGAGCUUGCAGGGGAUACGGGCAGACUAGAGUACUUCAGGGGAGACUGGAAUUCCUGGUGUAGCGGUGAAAUGCGCAGAUAUCAGGAGGAACACCGGUGGCGAAGGCGGGUCUCUGGGAAGUAACUGACGCUGAGAAGCGAAAGCGUGGGUAGCGAACAGG
rnacentral:rRNA from 1 species